AGGGAAUCUUCCACAAUGGACGCAAGUCUGAUGGAGCAACGCCGCGUGAGUGAAGAAGGCUUUCGGGUCGUAAAACUCUGUUAUUGAAGAAGAACGUGCGUGACAGUAACUGGUCAUGCAGUGACGGUAUUCAAUCAGAAAGUCACGGCUAACUACGUGCCAGCAGCCGCGGUAAUACGUAGGUGGCAAGCGUUGUCCGGAUUUAUUGGGCGUAAAGCGAGUGCAGGCGGUCUUUUAAGUCUGAUGUGAAAGCCUUCGGCUUAACCGAAGAAGGGCAUCGGAAACUGGGAGACUUGAGUGCAGAAGAGGAGAGUGGAACUCCAUGUGUAGCGGUGAAAUGCGUAGAUAUAUGGAAGAACACCAG
rnacentral:rRNA from 1 species